CAGCCGCCGGGUAAUACGUAGGGUGCAAGCGUUAAUCGGAAUUACUGGGCGUAAAGCGUGCGCAGGCGGUUAUAUAAGACAGUCGUGAAAUCCCCGGGCUCAACCUGGGAACUGCGAUUGUGACUGUAUGGCUAGAGUGUGUCAGAGGGGGGUAGAAUUCCACGUGUAGCAGUGAAAUGCGUAGAUAUGUGGAGGAAUACCGAUGGCGAAGGCAGCCCCCUGGGAUAACACUGACGCUCAUGCACGAAAGCGUGGGGAGCAAACAGGAUUAGAGACCCCCGUAGUCCCUGUCUCUUAUACA
rnacentral:rRNA from 1 species